rnacentral:rRNA from 1 species
AAUGAACGCUGGCGGCAUGCCUUACACAUGCAAGUCGAACGGCAGCAUGACCUAGCUUGCUAGGUUGAUGGCGAGUGGCGCACGGGUGAGUAAUGCAUCGGAACGUGCCUUUUAGUGGGGGAUAACGUAGCGAAAGUUACGCUAAUACCGCAUAUUCUCUGAGGAGGAAAGCAGGGGACCUUCGGGCCUUGCGCUAGAAGAGCGGCCGAUGUCGGAUUAGCUAGUUGGUGAGGUAAAUGCUCACCAAGGCAACGAUCCGUAGCGGGUCUGAGAGGAUGAUCCGCCACACUGGGACUGAGACACGGCCCAGACUCCUACGGGAGGCAGCAGUGGGGAAUUUUGGACAAUGGGCGCAAGCCUGAUCCAGCCAUGCCGCGUGAGUGAAGAAGGCCUUCGGGUUGUAAAGCUCUUUCGGCUGGGAAGAAAUCGCACUCUCUAAUACAGGGUGUGGAUGACGGUACCAGCAUAAGAAGCACCGGCUAACUACGUG